rnacentral:misc_RNA from 1 species
GAUGAAGAACGUAGCGAAAUGCGAUAAGUAAUGUGAAUUGCAGAAUUCAGUGAAUCAUCGAAUCUUUGAACGCACAUUGCGCCCUCUGGUAUUCCGGGGGCAUGCCUGUUCGAGCGUCAUUAUAACCACUCAAGCUCUCGCUUGGUAUUGGGGUUCGCGGUUCCGCGGCCCCUAAAAUCAGUGGCGGUGCCUGUCGGCUCUACGCGUAGUAAUACUCCUCGCGAUUGAGUCCGGUAGGUCUACUUGCCAGCAACCCCCAAUUUUUACAGGUUGACCUCGGAUCAGGUAGGGAUACCCGCUGAACUUAAGCAUAUCAAUAAGCGGAGGA